AGCGAACGCUGGCGGCAGGCCUAACACAUGCAAGUCGAACGAAGUCUUCGGACUUAGUGGCGGACGGGUGAGUAACACGUGGGAACGUGCCUUUAGGUUCGGAAUAACUCAGGGAAACUUGUGCUAAUACCGAAUGUGCCCUUUGGGGGAAAGAUUUAUCGCCUUUAGAGCGGCCCGCGUCUGAUUAGCUAGUUGGUGAGGUAAAGGCUCACCAAGGCGACGAUCAGUAGCUGGUCUGAGAGGAUGAUCAGCCACAUUGGGACAGAGACACGGCCCAAACUCCUACGGGAGGCAGCAGUGGGGAAUCUUGCGCAAUGGGCGAAAGCCUGACGCAGCCAUGCCGCGUGAAUGAUGAAGGUCUUAGGAUUGUAAAAUUCUUUCACCGGGGACGAUAAUGACGGUACCCGGAGAAGAAGCCCCGGCUAACUUCGUGCCAGCAGCCGCCGUAA
rnacentral:rRNA from 1 species